rnacentral:rRNA from 1 species
GUGGGGAAUUUUGGACAAUGGGCGCAAGCCUGAUCCAGCCAUUCCGCGUGCAGGAUGAAGGCCUUCGGGUUGUAAACUGCUUUUGUACGGAACGAAAAGCCUCUGGUUAAUACCCGGGGGUCAUGACGGUACCGUAAGAAUAAGCACCGGCUAACUACGUGCCAGCAGCCGCGGUAAUACGUAGGGUGCGAGCGUUAAUCGGAAUUACUGGGCGUAAAGCGUGCGCAGGCGGUGAUGUAAGACAGUUGUGAAAUCCCCGGGCUCAACCUGGGAACUGCAUCUGUGACUGCAUUGCUGGAGUGCGGCAGAGGGGGAUGGAAUUCCGCGUGUAGCAGUGAAAUGCGUAGAUAUCGAGAGGAAUACCAAAGGCGUAGGCAGGUCACUGGACAGUUACUGACACUGAGGCACGAAGGCCAGGGGAGCGAACGGGAUUAGAAACCCGUGUAGUCC